rnacentral:rRNA from 1 species
AUUGAACGCUGGCGGCAGGCCUAACACAUGCAAGUCGAGCGGAUGAAGGGAGCUUGCUCCUGGAUUCAGCGGCGGACGGGUGAGUAAUGCCUAGGAAUCUGCCUGGUCGAGGGGGAUAACGUCCGGAAACGGGCGCUAAUACCGCAUACGUCCUGAGGGAGAAAGUGGGGGAUCUUCGGACCUCACGCUAUCAGAUGAGCCUAGGUCGGAUUAGCUAGUUGGUGGGGUAAAGGCCUACCAAGGCGACGAUCCGUAACUGGUCUGAGAGGAUGAUCAGUCACACUGGAACUGAGACACGGUCCAGACUCCUACGGGAGGCAGCAGUGGGGAAUAUUGGACAAUGGGCGAAAGCCUGAUCCAGCCAUGCCGCGUGUGUGAAGAAGGUCUUCGGAUUGUAAAGCACUUUAAGUUGGGAGGAAGGACAGUAAGUUAAUACCUUGCUGUUUUGACGUUACCAACAGAAUAAGCACCGGCUAACUUCGUG